rnacentral:snRNA from 1 species
GGAUGUGAGGGUGAUCUUGCUGUGACAUCUGUCAUCCCAUUGAUCUCCAGGGCUGAUUCACCUGAUCUGGCUUGCUAGGCAGGUGUCCCCUUCCUCCAUCAUUGCUCCAUGUGCGUCCCUCCUGAAGCUGCGUGCUUGGUGGAAGAGGACAACUUUCUCCACUGGAGGAAGACUGGUCUUUGGUCAAGGGUAUAUGAGCAGCUUCGCUCCCCUGCUAGAACCUCCAAACAAGCUCUCAAAGCUUCUCAUGUUGGUGCAAUGGGAUGAGAAGGAAACAGAGACAUCACAUUCACUGCAGAGU